rnacentral:ncRNA from 1 species
UUCUUAUCAAGAGAGGUGGAGGGAAUUGGCCCUUUGAAACCCAGCAACCAGCAGAUUAUACUGCCCGGUGCUAAAUCCAACAGGUGUGUCCUGAAAGAUAAGUA